ACGGAAGGCAGCAGUGGGGAAUAUUGCACAAUGGGGGAAACCCUGAUGCAGCGACGCCGCGUGAGUGAAGAAGUUAUUCGUAAUGUAAAGCUCUAUCAGCAGGGAAGAAAAUGACGGUACCUGACUAAGAAGCCCCGGCUAACUACGUGCCAGCAGCCGCGGUAAUACGUCGGGGGCAAGCGUUAUCCGGAUUUACUGGGUGUAAAGGGAGCGUAGACGGCUUUGUAAGUCUGAUGUGAAAGGCAGGGGCUCAACUCCUGGACUGCAUUGGAAACUACAGAGCUUGAGUGCCGGAGAGGUAAGCGGAAUUCCUAGUGUAGCGGUGAAAUGCGUAGAUAUUAGGAGGAACACCAGUGGCGAAGGCGGCUUACUGGACGGUAACUGACGUUGAGGCUCGAAAGCGUGGGGAGCAAACAGGAUUAGAUACCCUGGUA
rnacentral:rRNA from 1 species